UAAGACCUUGCGCUCUUGGAGCGGCCGAUGUCUGAUUAGCUAGUUGGUGAGGUAAAGGCUUACCAAGGCGACGAUCAGUAGCUGGUCUGAGAGGACGACCAGCCACACUGGGACUGAGACACGGCCCAGACUCCUACGGGAGGCAGCAGUGGGGAAUUUUGGACAAUGGGGGAAACCCUGAUCCAGCCAUGCCGCGUGAGUGAAGAAGGCCUUCGGGUUGUAAAGCUCUUUCAGCCGGAACGAAACGGUCACGGCUAAUACCUGUGACUACUGACGGUACCGGAAGAAGAAGCACCGGCUAACUACGUGCCAGCAGCCGCGGUAAUACGUAGGGUGCAAGCGUUAAUCGGAAUUACUGGGCGUAAAGCGUGCGCAGGCGGUUUUGUAAGUCAGAUGUGAAAUCCCCGGGCUUAACCUGGGAACUG
rnacentral:rRNA from 1 species